rnacentral:lncRNA from 1 species
AUGUCAUUGUCAUUUGUUUCUGCCUAUGUUCAUCAGCAUCAGAAUGCUGGUAGUGAUUCUGCAAUUAUUGCUUUACAUUAAUCAAUAUUAUUGCCUGAUCCAUUUUGUGAUAUGACAUGCCUAACUGCAAGAAGUAAACUAAACUAUUCUAGACUUUUUAUGAUUAGCUGCACAAUCUCAGAUUCAUCUUACCUAUUAGACAACAAGUUAGAGGGGCUGGAUGGUGAGAGCAUGAUCCAGCUUGAAAAACCUUUUGUGUGGGUUGCCAUGCCUUAUGAACAUUCUUGUGUAAACAUUAAAUUUGCAUUAUUUCAGAAUUUGUAAAAUUUCAAAAGUUUACAGUGCCUUUAGGGAUUAAUAUUAUCAGAUAUCAUAUAUCUAGCAUCUAUGGAUGGCCUUAUAUUUUAAUUUAUUUUUAAUUUUUUUGCAUAAGUUUUUUUGCAUCUAUCAUUUUCCUA